UAGCUAUUCAAUUGUCAGAGGUGAAAUUCUUGGAUUYAUUGAAGACUAACUACUGCGAAAGCAUUUGCCAAGGAUGUUUUCAUUAAUCAAGAACGAAAGUUAGGGGAUCSAAKACGAUCAGAUACCGUCGUAGUCUUAACCAUAAACUAUGCCGACUAGGGAUCGGAUGAUGUUAUUUUUAAUGACUCA
rnacentral:rRNA from 1 species